rnacentral:misc_RNA from 1 species
GAGAGCUAUUCUGUUUACGU